CCUGAGACGGUGAGCACGGCAGACCUCAACGCGCACGUCACAGGUUUACUUAAACAUCUAGCCCCUGACUUGCCCGCGGAUACGCUUCUUAUGGACAGAAUUCAUCGCACGGCGAGGCCCACAUUUCUGCCCCCAGAGACCCCCCGAGAUAUACUCCUGCGGCUACAUUACUUCCACGCCAAGGAGGCCAUUUUGGCGGCUAACAGAGCAGGUAAAACGCUACCAGCCGAAUACAAAAACCACGUCAUCUACGCAGACGUGUCAGCUUAUACCCUUAAACGAAGGAGGGAUUUUCAACCCAUCACGGUGGCAUUGCGAGACCACAAACUGCCGUAUAGAUGGGGAUAC